rnacentral:rRNA from 1 species
UGGCGGACGGGUGAGUAACGCGUGGGGAACCUGCCCUGUACCGGGGGAUAGCAGCCGGAAACGGCUGAUAAUACCGCAUAAGCGCACGAAUGUCGCAUGACAUGGUGUGAAAAACUCCGGUGGUAUAGGAUGGACCCGCGUCUGAUUAGCCGGUUGGUGGGGUAAAAGCCUACCAAAGCGAAGAUCAGUAGCCGAGUUGAGAGACUGACCGGCCACAUUGGGACUGAGACACGGCCCAGACUCCUACGGGAGGCAGCAGGA